rnacentral:rRNA from 1 species
GCAUAUCAAUAAGCGGAGGAAAAGAAACCAACAGGGGAUUGCCCUAGUAACGGCGAAGUGAAGCGGCAACAGCUCAAAUUUGAAAUCUGGCGUCUUUGGCGUCCGAGUUGUAAUUUGCAGAGGGCGCUUUGGCAUUGGCAGCGGUCCAAGUUCCUUGGAACAGGACGUCACAGAGGGUGAGAAUCCCGUACGUGGUCGCUAGCCUUUACCGUGUAAAGCCCCUUCGACGAGUCGAGUUGUUUGGGAAUGCAGCUCUAAAUGGGAGGUAAAUUUCUUCUAAAGCUAAAUACUGGCCAGAGACCGAUAGCGCACAAGUAGAGUGAUCGAAAGAUGAAAAGCACUUUGGAAAGAGAGUUAAAAAGCACGUGAAAUUGUUGAAAGGGAAGCGCUUGCAGCCAGACUUGCCUGUAGUUGCUCAUCCGGGUUUCUACCCGGUGCACUCUUCUAUAGGCAGGCCAGCAUCAGUUUGGGCGGUUGGAUAAAGGUCUCUGUCAUGUACCUCCUUUCGGGGAGAACUUAUAGGGGAGACGACAUGCAACCAGCCCGGACUGAGGUCCGCGCAUCUGCUAGGAUGCUGGCGUAAUGGCUGUAAGCGGCCCGUCUUGAAACACGGACCAAGGAGUCUAACAUCUAUGCGAGUGUUUGGGUGUCAAGCCCGAGCGCGUAAUGAAAGUGAACGGAGGUGGGAACCUUUCGGGGUGCACCAUCGACCGAUCCUGAUGUCUUCGGAUGGAUUUGAGUAAGAGCAUAGCUGUUGGGACCCGAAAGAUGGUGAACUAUGCUUGAAUAGGGUGAAGCCAGAGGAAAACUCUGGUGGAGGCUCGCAGCGGUUCUGACGUGCAAAUCGAUCGUCAAAUUUGGGGCAUAGGGGCGAAAGACUAAUCGAACUAUCUAGUAGCUGGGUUCCUGCGA